UGAUGGCGAGUGGCGAACGGGUGAGUAAUACAUCGGAACGUGCCCUGUAGUGGGGGAUAACUAGUCGAAAGAUUAGCUAAUAUCGCAUACGACCUGAGGGUGAAAGUGGGGGACCGCAAGGCCUCAUGCUAUAGGAGCGGCCGAUGUCUGAUUAGCUAGUUGGUGAGGUAAAGGCUCACCAAGGCGACGAUCAGUAGCUGGUCUGAGAGGACGAUCAGCCACACUGGGACUGAGACACGGCCCAGACUCCUACGGGAGGCAGCAGUGGGGAAUUUUGGACAAUGGGCGAAAGCCUGAUCCAGCAAUGCCGCGUGUGUGAAGAAGGCCUUCGGGUUGUAAAGCACUUUUGUCCGGAAAGAAAUGGCUCUGGUUAAUACCUGGGGUCGAUGACGGUACCGGAAGAAUAAGGACCGGCUAACUACGUGCCAGCAGCCGCGGUAAUACGUAGGGUCCAAGCGUUAAUCGGAAUUACUGGGCGUAAAGCGUGCGCAGGCGGUUGUGCAAGACCGAUGUGAAAUCCCCGAGCUUAACUUGGGAAUUGCAUUGGUGACUGCACGGCUAGAGUGUGUCAGAGGGGGGUAGAAUUCCACGUGUAGCAGUGAAAUGCGUAGAGAUGUGGAGGAAUACCGAUGGCGAA
rnacentral:rRNA from 1 species